ACUCCAGAGAGAGGUUGGCUCAUGCUGGCUGGUGUAACAGUUGGUGGUCGUUGAGCAGCCAUCUUAGGGGGAGGACGGUGGCUGGUCUGGUGUGAGAAGGUGCUACACAGGUUACCUGUAAAAGCCACUGUCCCCGGCGACCGGAGUUAAAGAAAUGGCAACCAGAGAGCAGUGAGAGCCUCCUGCAGCAUAUCCACAGCUUCCAGUUAUCGCAGCUGACAUGCAUUGAAUGGGGCGGAGCUGAAGUGGAGUGUCUAUUGCUGGAGCUGGCCUGGGGAGUGUGCCGAUAUAGCUCCCCUCCCCUACAGGGGUGGACCAGAGGCAGCUCCCAGCCUGAGAAAGGGGACGGUGCUUCAGUGAAUACAGUGAACAGGAGCUGGAGAUACAUCUGUUUACAUCCCACACAAAUCCACAGGGUUGUUUCCUCUCUCUAUACAGACAAGCUGGAAGACUUUUCACAAGGCAAACAUGAAGUGUUGGGCGGAGCCCCUGGAUGGAUGGACAGAUCACCCCUAGGUGGACAGACCACCCUUUGUCAGAUACAGCAGAUGACAGACAGAGCAUCCCUGGACUGAUACUGAUAGGAGUCGCACACACCAGCCUCUGGAUGUAUACACAAUAUACUGUUUUUUUUUAACACUGAGGCAGAGCCUCUGGAUGUAUAUGGCAGAUCACCCCUUGUCAGAUACACCACCAGACGACAGAGAGCACCCCUGGACUGAUAUACCAGCCCUACAGCAGCCAGCAGCCCCACACCCACGCCACACAACCCAGAACUUUCCACAGCCGGAGUGAAAAUGGCACAGAUCACUGGGACCUUUUAUAUAAUCCAAAAUCCGAGUCAGGCGGGAAACCCUGAGCUGGAUUAUGACUCGGAUUGGGAAGUUUGGGUGGGUCCGGACCCGCUCAUCUCUAGUUAAUAUAAGGCGGACAUUCAAAGUGAAUGUACUGUCGACAUGCCGACUGUCAACAUACCCAAGGUUAAUAUUCUGUCAAUAUUGACAUUGUGAAAGGCGUCCUGCUGUCAAUGUUGACAUUCAAACCAUGUCAACAUCAUGGUGUUAACAUUUUGAAUGUCGACAUUUUGAACGGUGACCUUUUUAUUACCACGCCCAUUAAAAAGACUCACUCUUAGCUAUGUCACUAGUUCCUGAUGAACUGCCCUUUCAUAAAUAUUUACAGGUGCCAUUAAAAGAGACACAUGUGAAAUGCACAGUGACAACUGCAUUGCGUAUAGAUCAGAUACAAAUUCAGUUAUGACUA